CCCUCCCCGCCCCACCGGAAUGUAGGUUGCUGUUCCCUUGGUCAUUUUUCACCAGUAUGUGGUCCCGGUAUUUCAUCAGUAUGCAUUGGUCCCGGUGUUCAGAUUGGCUUGCUCACAGCGCCAUCUGGCGUCCACACGUGGGAGCUGAGAGCAGCCAUAACAGGAAACUGGGGACAAAGCUGGUCCACAGCCGCGCACAGAAGGGACCACACUGGGAGCAAGACAGUAUCUGGUGGUAAGCCCGGCUGCUGACCCAGUGCUCCAGACAAAUGUAUGCUGAAGCGUGAUGAGGAGUAAUUUUGGUUCCUACAAUCCUGAGUACACUAUCUGGGAAAUCCCCAGACAAGAAUCCUGGAGUGUGUUUCCACGCCCUCCACCAAAAGAUCUUCCCAAUCAAGUGAUCAAACCCUCGUCUCUUAUGUCUCGUGCAUUGGCUGAUGAGUUCCUUACCACUAGUGCCAUCUUGGAAACCUAUUCCAUAUAUAAUUGCCCGGCCCCUGAGGCUCAGCUGUGGUUUUAGUCCCACCUCUGUGCGUGGACCACCUGUAGAAGUCUGUUCCUGAGGCUGCCCUGGAGUACUUGAGUCUGCAUUCACUAGAAGUCUGAUGGCAGCUAUGAACUCAGUUUAACAUCACUGACUGAGGAGACAUCUGACAGCUCCCUGGAUAUCUCCAGACCCCAUCCGAUUGGGUCUCCACUCCGUGCUGCCUGCCCCAUAGCUGUCAGGUUACCCAGCAUAGGAAAGUGUUAGAACAUUACCAGCUGCCUUGGAGAUCAAGCCCAACAAGCUCCACUCUGGUUCCCUUGACAAUCUGUAUUAGGGGUAUCUCUUCAUGGCUGCUCCAGCAAAGUGCAGCCACUGCUCCUUACCUUGGACGAGGGAUAUCUCCUCACUGCCACCCCUCCUGACCUUGAACAUGGGAUAGCUCCCCUAGGCCCUUCUGCGCCCGCGCAAC
ensembl:lncRNA